ensembl:lncRNA
AUGCAAGUUGUUUCUGAGAUAAGCAGUUUUCUUUCCUGUUUGUGCACAGCCACCUUCAAGUGUAGAUGCAGAAGGAGAUCAAUGCACACCACAUCGCAACAGACAAGACAAGCCCAAAGAAUCUUUCCACCAUUUAAAAAUAUCAUGGAUCAGACUCCAGACAUUUCCACAGACCACAAGAGAGAGAAGCAGUCAAAAGCAUCAUCGAACAUCCCUAAGAAGCUGCCAUUGUUUGUAAUUCUAAUGCAUGAUUUUUUACAAAAAAUUCCUGUUUUCAGCUCUUUCCCUAUUAGUCUUUCGUUAAUUGGAUUUGAGGAGUUGAUGGAGCUAAAAGUUUUUGUAUGCCCAUGCAGACAUGAUCUGAAUAUAUGGCUAACAACAUCUAUUUUACUUAGUCCUCCUUUUUUUAUUUUUGCUUUAAUGUAUUUUGUUUUAAGACCUUUUAAACAUGAUUGGUUUCAUUGUUCUCAAAGAGAGAAUGAUACUCGGCAGAACUGGCCUAAAGCUUUAGCACAUUGUCUGAUGCCAUCUGCAAUGUGGAUCAUCAUCUUGUUACUUGAUGGUGAUUAUAUUGCUUGUGCCAUGACAGACUGGAAGGGAGUUUAUGUGUUUGAUGUUGAGCUCAACAGGUCGUGGUGUAAACCCAAUGAAGACAUGCGAAAUGCGGCAGAGCUCCGAGAUUUGAAUCGCCAGUAUAUUUAUAAAUCACAGAUUUUAGGUUAUUCCGCAAGCUUUAUCUUAAGUGUAAUAACAAUAACCUUAAUGGUUAUUUUUGACUGCCACAUAAGUGGGAGAUGUGACUUCUGCCCAAAAUGCUGCAGACCAACAGCAGAGAUACAGACUGAGAAACAAGGUUCUGCUACAAUGGGACAGGAACUGCAAGGGUCAGGAAGUUCUGCUACAAUGGGACAGGAACUGCAAGGGUCAGGGAGUUCUGCUACAAUGGGACAGGAACUGCAAGGGUCAGGGAGUUCUGCUACAAUGGGACAGGAACUGCAAGGGUUAGGGAGUUCUGCUACAAUGGGACAGGAACUGCAAGGGUUAGGGAGUUCUGCUACAAUGGGACAGGAACUGCAAGGGUUAGGGAGUUCUGCUACAAUGGGACAGGAACUGCAAGGGUUAGGGAGUUCUGCUACAAUGGGACAGGAACUGCAAGGGUUAGGGAGUUCUGCUACAAUGGGACAGGAACUGCAAGGGUUAGGGAGUUCUGCUACAAUGGGACAGGAACUGCAAGGGUUAGGGAGUUCUGCUACAAUGGGACAGGAACUGCAAGGGUUAGGGAGUUCUGCUACAAUGGGACAGGAACUGCAAGGGUUAGGGAGUUCUGCUACAAUGGGACAGGAACUGCACGGGUUAGGGAGUUCUGCUACAAUGGGACAGGAACUGCAAGGGUUAGGGAGUUCUGCUACAAUGGGACAGGAACUGCACUGGUUAGGGAGUUCUGCUACAAUGGGACAGGAACUGCAAGGGUUAGGGAGUUCUGCUACAAUGGGACAGGAACUGCAAGGGUUAGGGAGUUCUGCUACAAUGGGACAGCAAGAUUCAAGGAGUUCUGCCUCAGUGAGACAUAAACUACAAGGGGCAGAGGGUUUUGCUGCAGUGUCAUGGCAAUUAGAGAGUUCUGAUAUAGUGCGACAAGGAAAUAAAGGGUUAGGAAGAUCUGCUCUAGCAGGACAUGGACAACAAAUGUCAGGGAGUUCUGCUCCAAUGGGUUCUAUUACAAAAACACCGGAACGGCAAAUGCUACUGCAAUUUCCAUAGCAACUUAAAAAAAAAAAAAAGUGAAAGGCCAUCUACUAACAACAGACCAGUUAUUAACAAAUUGAUUUCUCUCUAUCUUUAUUAAACAAAACUAUCCUAUGCCAUCAGAUACCAAAUGUGACACACAAGUACAUUAAACUGUUUUGUCAGAAAGAAGAAAGGAUGAUCAAGAUCCUUCAGAAGCUGCAGAAACUUUGCAUAUUUGAAUAUUUAUAUUUUGUAAUGAAUUAUAUUAGAUAAACUUCUGAACUUCAGAUAAAUAUAGGCAGAUAUUUUGCAUGUGCAAAUUUUUUAAAGCACGUCUCUUUUAAUGGGAAAAUACCUUUUUGUGAAAUGAUUUGCUUGGAAUAGUCUGUUUCUGUAAAGCAUGUUUCGAUGGAGGGGGGAAAAAAAAGGAUAGGGCCGGUUCUAGACAUCUGGAGGCCCAAGGCAAAAUUCAUGUUGGAGCGCCCCCACCCACAAUAAAAAGCACUUGAAACAAAUAUGAUUCCUAACC